GGAGACCACCGAUACUACUAAGCGCUGGGCUGCUGGUCAGUGCCGAGGGUCAAAGGCUGUCAAGAUGUCAUUUUUAUUCGACUGGAUCUACAGGGGGUUUAGUAGUGUCUUACAGUUCUUAGGUCUGUACAAAAAGUCUGGGAAGCUGGUUUUCCUGGGUCUGGACAAUGCCGGUAAAACAACACUCCUACACAUGUUGAAAGACGACCGACUUGGCCAACACGUGCCAACUCUGCAUCCAAGUAUGUAAAUAUUCAGUCGGUAGCGUGCCAUCGUAGGCCGACAUGUUGUUUGUGUGCAGAAAAUGCAGCACGACUACAUUUUGGGGUCAUAUCUUUGAAGCUUUCUCAUAUAUUUGUUGCAAAACAAUUGAGACCAAUCCAAUUACUGCUAUUUUUGGAGUUUCCAGUGAGGGCGUAGACAUCUCUACAUCUCAAGCUAAUUGUAUAACAUUCGCCUCACUUGUAGUCAGGAGACUUAUUCUCCACAAUUGGAAGUCUAAAAAGCCCCCAUCAUUUAUAAACUAUAUCAAAGAAGUGUUGUCUUUAAUAUUGUCUAAAAAAUGCAGACGUAACAGA